rnacentral:rRNA from 1 species
CUUUUACAAUGAAGAGUUUGAUCCUGGCUCAGGAUGAACGCUAGCUACAGGCUUAACACAUGCAAGUCGAGGGGCAGCAUUUUAGUUUGCUUGCAAACUGAAGAUGGCGACCGGCGCACGGGUGAGUAACACGUAUCCAACCUGCCGAUAACUC